UCACAUGUAGAAAGAUUAAUUAUUUUUAAGGGCUACUUUUGGUUGUUUUCUAUUUAAUAAGCAGAGCCUACUGUUUAAUAGAAUUUAAAUUAAUUUCAUGAUGAAAAGCAAGAUUUAUAGGCAAAUGAAUUAGGAAUAAUUGGUCAGGCUUGACUUAAGAGCUGAAGGUACACCAAAGUCAUCACUGCAGAUCGAACCUUACGUGCUGUGAAAUUGUCACAAAUGGGAUUUAUUUGCUUUUAAUACGUGGGGGUUUAGAAUUCUUGCAUCUUGGGCUUCGCCUUUGUGACGGAUUUGGUGAUUUUAAAAACAAAUUUUCUGCUUUGUUUCUAAAUGAAGAGAUAAGAGAGAAGAUAUCACUUCCUCAAAUGACCCAUUGCUGUUCCGAAUAGCUGUUAUUUUCAAAAAAGAUGAAAAGCCCCAAAUGGCUAUAUUUUCCCUCUUUACUCUCCAUUUUUGAAGUAGUAGAAACAUCUUGAUGUUCUUCAUAAGAUUAAAAAAACAAACAGGUGACACAUUAACAACGGGAAGGCAUCAAAGGUGCAGGUGUGUUUGCAGCCGAGACAAGAUCUCUCCCUGUCCUCUCUGUGUGGCUCUCCAGGACAUUCGAAGUUUGCAGUUUCUCCUGUGUCUUGCCCAGAAGAAUCUUUGCAUCUGUGAGCAAAUAUUUACACAUGCACAUCCAUCUUUCUUUGUCUUUAUCUUUAUUAUAUUUUUGUUAUUAUUAUUGUUUUUGGUACUGGGGAUUGACCCCAGGGGCACUCAACCACUGAGCCUCUCUUCCCCAGCUCUUCUUUGUAUUUUAUUUAGAGACAGGGUCUCACUGAGUUGCUUAGCGCCUCACUAAGUUGCUGAGGCUGGUUUUGAACUCACAAUCCUCCUGCCUCAGCCUCCCAAGCCACUGGGAUUAUAGGUGUGUGCCACAGAACCCAGCUAUUGUUAUUAUUAUAUUUUGUGGUGCUGGGGAUGAAACCCAGGGCCUGGCACAUUCUAGGCAAGCUCUCUCCCUCUGAGGUGCACCCCAGCCUGUUUCUCUUUAUUUUUAUACAAAUGAGGCCCUCUCCACAGCCAUCUGCACUGUGCUUUUCUCAUUUGAGAAUGAUUUGAGAUCAUUCUAAUCAGUACACACUACCCUGUUUCAAUUCUGUUGUCAGUUGAUAAAAACAUUCUAUUGUAACAACAUGCCACGGUGUACCUCGGCAGUGUGUGAUGGACAGGUGUCUAGGGUGCUUGUGGUCUUCAGCCAUUACAAACACAACUGCAACGUAUUCCCCCUCCACUCAGCUCUCGGAAACUGGCCCUAAGCAUUGUAGGUGUGCUGGUCAGCUCUCCUUCACUGUGACAAAACGCCUGAGAAAAAUCAACUUAUAAGGAGGAAAGAUGCAUUUUGACUCCCAGUUUCAGAGAUUUCAGCCCAUGGUUGCUUGGCCCCAUGGUUACUGGGCCUAUGGUGAGGUGAGAUGGGCACAAGAAGCUUCUCACUUCAUAUCAGCCAGGAAGGAGAGAGAGGGAGGAAGGGGCCAGGGCCCAUUAGCCCUUCAAGGGCGUUCCCUGUGACCUCACUUCCUUCUGCUAGGCCCCACCUCCUCAAGAUUCCGCCAUCUCCCAAUAGUGGCACAGGCUGAAGUCCAGGCCUUCAACACAUGGGGGACAGUUCAAGUCUAAGCUAUAGCAGUAUCCUCUUGCGCAGUCAAGGGGCCUUGGUUUGCUAGGCUGUGAUGAUAAAGUACUACCACCGGUAGCUAGAACACCAGAAAUGGGUUCCUUAUGGCUCAGGGCCUGGAAAUCCAAGAUACCUUGCACCUAAUAAAAGUAAAAGGUGUCUGGCAGGCAGAGCUGGUUCCUUCUGAAGGCUGUGACAUAGCUCUACCCUUAGUAAUGUCUCAGUGCUUUUUAUUUUUUAAUUUUGAGACAGGGUGUCACUAAGUUGCUGAGGCUGACCUCAAACUGGCAAUCCUCCUGCCUCAGCCUCCCAAAUAGCUGGGAUCACAGGUGUGCACCCCUGUGCACGAUGCCCAGCUCAUGGGUUAGGAUUUCAACAUAUGAAUUAGUUAGUGUGGGUGAUACAAUACAACCCACAAGUAAAGUCCCUGAGCUUUUACUUGCAUAAUUUACUUUUUGCAGUGCUGGGGAUGGAACCCGGGGCCUCACACCCUAGGCAAGUGCUUUCUCACUGACCACAUUCCCAGCCUGGGAUUCACUUUUAGGAAAAUAUUGCCAAAUGACUCUUCAUAGAAAUUGUGCCAUUUCCUCCCCACAGGCAAUGAUGAAGACAGCCUAGGUCGUGUGGGUGCAGCCCAGCCAACAGCAGGCCACAGACCUGUCCGCCUUUGCCUGUUGAGUAGGAGAAAAUGGCCUCUCAUGGGUGGGCAUCCACCUUGCACAACCCUCCAGGUGAGGACGAAGGCUCCUUUUCACACAUUGAAGAG
rnacentral:lncRNA from 1 species